UUUGUUUUUUUUUAACACUGGGCCCCAGAUAUUUCCCUUAGUGAUGUCACAAAAACGGAUUGAGAAAGACAAUUGUUAUUGUUUUAAAUUUAAUUCAAACAUCACAUGGUAAAGUCCGUCAUGGUCAUUUUGAGCACCCCCCCUUUGGACUAUUCCAUCUCAUUGCACAUGUGCAGAUUUAGUUCAGGAAGAAGGUUGCAGAUGUUCCCCCAAAAUUGCUGGUGGCCUGCUGUGAGAAAAAUUAAAUAGGGGAAGAAGAAGGCGAGAGAAAACCAAACCGCUGCAGCCAUUUCCAAGGUGACACGGAAAGUGCAUAAAUAUCAACAAUGGGAGCCAAACAAACAUUCGGGCCAAUUGCAGUAGUACUGCUGUCUGUGUCUGCAAGUCUUGCUCCUACUUGUCAGACUCCAUGUAGAAGUGGGCGAAGCUUUUGACCACCAAGAUCAGGGAUAGACUCCAGCUUGAGGAUCAUCAGCAAACCAAAGGAUGGAUGUUACCAAAUGAUUGAAUUCAAGCACUUCCAGUGCAGGAAAUCCCAUAACGCACUCGAAGCCCACGACACAUUCCAGCGUGAAAAGGACCUUUGUUGCCAGACACUCCCCACACAUUGUACAAUGUGAGGAAGAAUGUCAUGAGGAAUUCCCCCCCACACCCUCCCCCCAAAAAAGAAUCGGCUUGAUUUUUUUAAUGCAUAAGACCUAACGCCCAAAGACUCAUAAAGGCCCUUUUAGUCUGGAUUUUUUCUUUUUUUAUUAUACGCAGGCGUCUCGUUGUGUGGGAGCAUAUGUGCGAUGCAGGUAAAAUGUCAGGACACCUUACCGAAUGGCGCUUCGUUCCACCUGCAGCAGUUAUCUGGAAAGGUUCAAACCAUAAAUCUCAGUCUGGCUGCUGCUUUUUUUUUUUUAACCCUUCUUUGUCCUGUUGGGGGCACUAGUCUUUAAUCGUUAUUUGCAUCAUUAAGUGGCUUACAAGGAAGAUUAACACGCAAACCACAAAAUGUGAUUUAGGUGGUCAUAUUGUGGCACAAUCUUUUUAUGUGUCUUGCCUGGACAUUCUCAAGUGUGAAAAGAAGCUGCAUUAUAUAGCGACCACAUGACAACAUUUGUCUUGUGAUUAAUUUCCACGCGCUUGCGGCCGUUCCCAGGGAAAGCGCACUAACCACGGCCGUCACCGCCGGCGCUGCUGCAAAUUGUAAUCGGAGGAUUUAAAGCUGUCACUCAAAUCUCGACGUGACCUUUCA